AAGUCGUAACAAGGUUUCCGUAGGUGAACCUGCGGAAGGAUCAUUAUAAAAUUUUCAUAUAUUAUUUAUUUAAUAUAUAAAAUUAUAUACAAAAUGUAUUCAAAACCCACACUCUUUAUAACCAUAAAAAAAUUUAUAUUAUUUAUAAUAUAAAAAAAAACAACUUUCAACAACGGAUCUCUUGGCUCUC
rnacentral:misc_RNA from 1 species